rnacentral:ncRNA from 1 species
AAAAGGGGUGCUUGCUUUAAGUAGGCUGAGAGUAAGCUAGUGUGCUUUAACCCAUGACCUGAUUUGGAUAAUGCCAACGUAGGGACAUAAAGUAU